rnacentral:lncRNA from 1 species
AAAUUAAGCCCUUGGGAAUGCUGUACAAAGAAUACAUUUUUCCAGUGUCGAACCGAGAUCAAUAGAGAAAAACAAAUAAUUCCAAGCAGGAGGCGUGGUCCUGACACCCAGGUCCAGGCAGGGGCUGGGUGCAGGAUUCUGGCCCGAGGAUAUGCCGGGGGGAGGGAGAAGAGAAUGAGGAGCAGAGGAGGAGUGGGGAGUGGGCAUGGGGGGUGCCGGGCUCCCAGGCAUUGGCGCCACAGGGGCAACUUGGGGAGGGGGUGGCUCACCGCUUUGUUCGCAGGGGACCAUCUCCCUGUAGGGGUGAGGCGGGCAGGCCAGGGGGAGGGAAGAGCUCCAGGCACUUCCCCUACUCAGCCUCCCCCUCCUUUGCUCUCUCUCCUGGGGUCUGCCCUGUGCCUGCCACUCUGGCAGACCUGAGCCCGUCCCCUCCAUGAUUCUGGGCUGCCCCGGAGUUCGCUUUGAUCCCCAAACCUUUCCUGAACUCGUGCUCCCUCUUGCAGAUUCCUAAGGGCCUGAGUAACACCACCGAGGUCACUGGAAUGCCAGGCAGCAUCUGGCCUGCGCGUUCCUCCCCCGCGCGAAGCCCUGCAGCAGCUUGGCCUGCCCGACGGUCAAUACCCUUCCUCCCAGCAUCCUGUGCCGCUGUGGCUCCCGGGGAAGCCGCCGUCAGACCAAGACAGAGGGAGGAAAGCCGCUCCCAGGAGAGAAGUCGGGGUGCCUGCCUGCUCCCCAGGGAGAACCAGGAGCCUGCGGAGCUGGCGUUGGCCCUUUGGUUUCUGCAAUCGGAGGUGGUGAGCCUAGAAUUCCCCUCCACCAGGGCCACACACCACGGAGAUGGGACAAAUCCCAGAAGCAGAUUAGACUGGUGUUGCUGUUGGGGCAUGCGGACGAGGCAAGCAAACUGUGACCCACAUGCACUCUCCUUGUUUAUCAAAUAG